GAAACACCUACCCGAUCCCGAACCCGAUUCUGAAAUCGGGUACCCUAAUACCCGACUCGGGUACCCGAAUCGGGUAUUCGGGUACCCGAAAUUACCCGACCAAAAUGAAUUGAAAUUAAGCUGCGAGAAUUGGAGAGCAGAAAUAGAGAUUCAAAAGCAAUAAUUAAUCACACAGAUCCAUUAAUUCCCACUAAAUAAAUUCGAAAACUGUUUAAAAAAAAGAAGAAGAAGAAGCGAGGGUUGCGGUGGGAGUUGCGGCGACGGCGGGGCUACACCUGCACGGCUGCGGCGGCGGCGAUUGCUGACUGGGGACACGGGCGGCGGCGGCGAACGGCGAGGCGAUUGCUGACUGGGGACACGGGCGAGGGUUGCGGUGGGAGUUGCGGCGACGGCGGGGCUGGACUCUGGUGUGGGCGAGGGGCGGGGCGGCCGGGCUGGCGAGGAGCGAGGGGCGACGC
rnacentral:lncRNA from 1 species